AGAUGGAGAAGGCAUGAAGCCCAAACAUACGGCCUAGGUCAAUGAUGAAGAGUUGUUGACUUGCAACGUGACGGAUGUCAAAUGUAAGUAAAUUGCCUGUGUUACUAGUGGUUAUGUUACGUAUGGUAAGUGGAGGGCAUUUCGGGUAAGUAACUUGGCCCAUUUGGAUUUCGCGUAGGCGGUGUGAUUGAAAUCCUAGUUCCCUCCACUGUAGCCGAAGCAGGAGGCAAAAUUAUUAUAAAGAGACGGCGAUCGGCACUGCUACGACGUCCGGCACCUACUACCAGGACUACGUACACAAGGGGAAGGACGAAGAAAACAAAGAAUUAAGUGUUAAUGAAUUACCAGGAUAUCAUAACGAUGGUGUUAAACUUGGUUUUGCAUUAUUUUGAAUUGGUUUAGGUGGUAAAGGAUAAUAAUUUCCUGGAUUGUAAAGUUUUUACCUUUUUGCUUGAAAUUACAUUUGAAUUGCUCUUGGGUAGCAUGGUGACACUUUGACGCAUUCCUCACAUUUUGCAUUAUCUGUGGUGAAUGCUGUGUGACUGUUUACUUUUGCUGACAAUGUUUUAGUAUUACAAACUACAUAAGUUAUCGAUUUAUUCUAUUA
rnacentral:lncRNA from 1 species